ACGAACGCUGGCGGCGUGCUUAACACAUGCCAGUCGAACGGAAAGGCCCUGCUUUUGUGGGGUGCUCGAGUGGCGAACGGGUGAGUAACACGUGAGUAACCUGCCCUUGACUUUGGGAUAACUUCAGGAAACUGGGGCUAAUACCGGAUAGGAGCUCCUGCUGCAUGGUGGGGGUUGGAAAGUUUCGGCGGUUGGGGAUGGACUCGCGGCUUAUCAGCUUGUUGGUGGGGUAGUGGCUUACCAAGGCUUUGAUGGGUAGCCGGCCUGAGAGGGUGACCGGCCACAUUGGGACUGAGAUACGGCCCAGACUCCUACGGGAGGCAGCAGUGGGGAAUAUUGCACAAUGGGCGGAAGCCUGAUGCAGCAACGCCGCGUGCGGGAUGACGGCCUUCGGGUUGUAAACCGCUUUCGCCUGUGACGAAGCGUGAGUGACGGUAAUGGGUAAAGAAGCACCGGCUAACUACGUG
rnacentral:rRNA from 1 species